rnacentral:lncRNA from 1 species
GUCGGGAUGGUGGUUCAUAUAGGAUCUACCAUAGAACCUUCUAAAAAGGCUUAGGGUGGUUAUCAUAAUGGGGUCCAUCUCUAAAGUCUUCUAGAAGGGCGAUUAUUUUGGUGGAGCUCAUUAUUAGAGAUAUUUUAGAAAGUUCUAAAGAUAAUUAAACAAAGUAUAAAUAAGACUAAUUGAGGCCAUAUGGACAUUCAAUCAGGUAUGGCUUUAUACUCUUUCUCUUAGUAAAGUUUGGUUUUUUUUAUUUUUUUGUUCUAUUUUGUUUGAUUCUAUUUAAAAUAUUUU